GACAAUAGAUUUAGCCCUAUUUUUAUUCUGCCAUGAACCAUAACAACUCUUUUUACAACCUAACGAAAACAUAACGUCGCAAGGCAUGCAAGUCCAAAAGGAAUGUAAUGGCAAACAAGUAUUAAUAUUAUUAUCAUAACUCAAAAUCUUUGGAGAAAUUUUUAUGAGAUUUUAAAUGCAGGAAAAUCAGUAAUGCUAUUUAUAUAUGUAUAUAUUUUAAAUUUUAUGCGAUUGGACAUAGCAAAAUCAGGAAUAAAAAAUAACAAUUAUGUUGGGAAAUAGUUCGAAAGUUGUCAAUUUAAGUUAGUAAGAGCACACUCAUCUGCUUCCUAAAUGUCCAUGUUCUCUAAAUUUUAGAGAAAAAAUUUGGGGGAAACUGAAAUUCCCCCUCCCAUCCAGAUCCCUAAAUUAGAUUUUGAGUUGGUAUAGUGGUUCCCCAACUAUCAAGAACCACGAUACAUCCCCAACUUCUUCAUUUAAUCUUUCUAACUAUUGGUCCCGCGUGAAACUCACAAUUGACGUUGUUGUUUGUAUAGGCCCUCUCUUCGUCCGUUUUCCACAAUCGACAAUAAGCACUCCAAUCGGCUUCUAUAUCUUUUGGCAUUGAUUUAGGGCUUUCGUUGGGGCUGCAUGUCUAGUAUAAAGUCGUGAUGAUAGUUCUAAUUAUUAUUCGAUGUGUAAAAUCACUAGUGCUGUCAAUGGGGCUCGAUCGAUAUGUAAUCCUAACCUCAUGGCCACCUUUUUAUUGUGGUAGUUUUCACAAAGGCAACUGGGUUUGAAGGUUUUGUGGCCAUUCAAGUUUGGGCUCAUGUCUUACUCAGGCUGUAAAUAAAAAAAACUAUUCUGAGUCUCAUGGAAAAAAAUUUAAAUACUUGGAUAAUAUUUGAGGUUAAAUGCUGUAAAUUUAAAUUAUGGUAUUUUUUAGGAAAGCAGAUGAUGUUACUCUUAUUCAUUUAACAUGUGUGCUAUUUUUUUAUUUAUUAGUAUUUUGUUUUAAUGUGAUGUAUUAAAAAUGUCUGUAAUUUUGUUUUAACAUGGUCUAUUAUUCAUUUAGCAUGCAUGCAUGUUCAUUGAUGUUUGGAGCUUGGAUUAGUUUCUUAUUUCACCUAUUUUGAUGUGAUAUAUCUAUACUAAACAUCUUUCAUGGACAUAUACCUAAAAGUUUUUUAUUUUGGCAGUUCUGGUUUGAUUUUGGCAUGCUGCUCAGUAUUGUUUGUAUCAUUAUUUUGGUACUUCUUUGUAUUCUGUUGUGAUUUAGUUUUGUUUUCUUUGUUGGAUUAGUUUUUUCUUUAAGUUCAUUUUCCUUGUCUAUCCCCCUUGGUAAUGCUGAUGACAAAGUUGAGUGGGGAUACAAAAAAUUUAGCACAUAUUUCAGGGCAGGGUAACCCAGAUGGCCAAUCACUAUUGGAAAUUGAUUGUUGCAGCCAAUUGAGGAUGUUGCCACUUCCAAUAUGUUACCAUUUAUUUCCUGGGCCGGUUAACAGAAUCACAUUUAUAUUAUUCUUUAGUUUAUAAAAUGUCUACCAACUGUUGUGUGUCUAAAAUUUGUUAGAAAUGAAUUCUAGAUAUAUGUACUUCAUGACCCUCCUCAGCAGGUCCUACGCUGACCACUGUUAUGUUAGUCAAACUCAACAAUCUUCUGUGACGGUUGAAGUCUCUACCCCCACCCCAAAUAGAGCUUUUCUCCAUAAAAAAAUCAGUCAGGAGUGCAAAUUUCACCCAAAAAAAAGACAAGUUAUUUGUCUCGGUAUGGUUGAAUACCAACGUAGAUGCCAUCCAUGGAACGAACCAAAACCAUGCCCAACUUUAGGAUAAAAUUAGUCAAUACCUUAGUGAAUAUAAACAAAGUACAACUGAACGGAGCGUUGGCUCCUUAAUACAUUAGUGGUCAGACAUUCAAAAGGUGAUCAAAAAAUUUUGUGCAAAAUUGGCCCAAGUCGAAGGGUUAAAUCAAAGUGGCAUGACCGAGCAAGACAAUGUAUAACUAUCCAUACUAAUAGCUUUUUACAUCAUCUAUUUUUAUACAAUUUCUGUUUGGUAAUUAUUUUAUGUUUUGCUCUUUAAUUGCAAGUUUGAGAAAACAAAGAUCUGUACCAAUCACUGGAGAAUACCUCCUUUUAGUUCAAGUGUUGUUGGUACCUGUUGAAGGACCAACCCAAAUGGAUUCAGCAUUGCACAAAGGAAGGUCCAAAGGCGAAGGUUGACGAUGUCCCUGACCCUAACUCGUACCUCAACUUCAUUUGUAGAUUCAAUAAAUGAUGUUGAGGUGGAGAAUGUUCUAAAAAAUGAUGUCGUUGAAUUGGAGAGGCCAAUGGAAAGGAAAGCUAAGAAAGCAAAAUGUAAAGCCCAAGGCAUGCCAGCAGAGGACAUUGUUCAAUAGAGUAAGAUGAAAUAUACUCUUAUCGAGGAGUCAUGCACUUAGUAGAAAAAAAAAAUUCAUUUCAAGACCAAGAAGAUGCAAUAUGAUCAAGAAAGGGAGAGACAUAAAAUAAGGCAAGAGGACGAAUGACUGAGGUUGAAGUCCAAGAGGUUGGAAUUCGCCCGAUUACAAGCGGAUGAGAGAGCAAUUGGAGAGAAAGGAGCGAAUCAUGCUAAUUGAUCUGACUAUCUUGCUUGGACUAUAACGUGCAUAUUUCCAACAACGUCAAAGAGAAAUCAUGGCAAGACACAUUGCUGAGAAUCAAUGACGUACUUUUUUUUAUAUAAUUUAUUUGUUAUUGAUGCAUUCUCCAAUUUGUAUAUUUUGACAGCAUUAAUCAUUGAGUUUGCAUCAUUGGUUAGCUGUUAUUGUUAAAUAACUUGGAUGUUUGUAUGUUAUACAUUGUAACUUUGUUAGUAUUUAUUCUGAAAGUUUAAAGUUCUUUACAA